rnacentral:rRNA from 1 species
GGUUGAUCCUGCCAGUAGUCAUAUGCUUGUCUCAAAGAUUAAGCCAUGCAUGUCUAAGUAUAAGCAUUUAUACUGUGAAACUGCGAAUGGCUCAUUAAAUCAGUUAUAGUUUAUUUGAUAGUACCAUUACUACUUGGAUAACCGUGGUAAUUCUAGAGCUAAUACAUGCAUAAAAACCCGACUUUUAGGAAGGGUUGUAUUUAUUAGAUAAAAAACCAUUCCCGGCGCUGUCGGUUCUUUUUGGUGAUUCAUAAUAACUUUUCGAAUCGUAUGACUUUACGUCGACGAUGGUU